AUCAGUUUCAUUCCCACAGAAACUGGGUCUGUCCUGAUUCUAAGAUGGACAGUAACACUGAAGGUCUCACAAAACUGCAAUCAAGGUAUCAGCAGGCUUCAUUCUUAUUUGGAGGCUUAACUAAAGAAGAAUCUGUUUGCAUUCUCACUCAGUGAUGCUGACCUACAUCUUAGGACUAAGGUGUGACUCUUGGCUACUUGAAAGCAAUCACAGAGAAGUCCCCAUACCGGUCACCAUUGGCAUCUAUGGACACCUUCCCGGCAAUACCUAGAGGAAGAGAUGUGGAGAAUGCCAGCCAGUAAGUAACUUAAAAUACCUCUGUCUGCCAACAAAAACAAGAAAAUGAAUUGACAGGAUUUUUUAAACAAACUCAUGCCACAGGGAAUCUCAUCAGACUCAGAGCAUUUUUGUUGGCAUUUGGAAAGACAUUGUAAUUUCAUCUGUGUCUGCAUUCCUAAAUUCUUAACAUUUCUCCAUUUGAAAAUGAAAAGAAAAAGAAACAAAUGACCUUCUUUGGGGAAUAUGUUAAAGGAAAAAAAAAAAAAAGAUUAAG